GGGAAUAUAGUUUAAUUGGUAAAGCAUAUGUUUUGCAUACAUAAAAUUAUCGGUUCGAAUCCGGUUAUUUCCA
rnacentral:tRNA from 1 species